UGGCGGCAGGCCUAACACAUGCAAGUCGAGCGGUAGAGAGAAGCUUGCUUCUCUUGAGAGCGGCGGACGGGUGAGUAAUGCCUAGGAAUCUGCCUGGUAGUGGGGGAUAACGUUCGGAAACGGACGCUAAUACCGCAUACGUCCUACGGGAGAAAGCAGGGGACCUUCGGGCCUUGCGCUAUCAGAUGAGCCUAGGUCGGAUUAGCUAGUUGGUGGGGUAAUGGCUCACCAAGGCGACGAUCCGUAACUGGUCUGAGAGGAUGAUCAGUCACACUGGAACUGAGACACGGUCCAGACUCCUACGGGAGGCAGCAGUGGGGAAUAUUGGACAAUGGGCGAAAGCCUGAUCCAGCCAUGCCGCGUGUGUGAAGAAGGUCUUCGGAUUGUAAAGCACUUUAAGUUGGGAGGAAGGGUUGUAGAUUAAUACUCUGCAAUUUUGACGUUACCGACAGAAUAAGCACCGGCUAACUCUGUGCCAGCAGCCGCGGUAAUACAGAGGGUGCAAGCGUUAAUCGGAAUUACUGGGCGUAAAGCGCGCGUAGGUGGUUAGUUAAGUUGGAUGUGAAAUCCCCGGGCUCAACCUGGGAACUGCAUUCAAAACUGACUGACUAGAGUAUGGUAGAGGGUGGUGGAAUUUCCUGUGUAGCGGUGAAAUGCGUAAAUAUAGGAGGGACACCAGUGGCGAAGGCGACCCCCUGGACUGAUACUGACCCUGAGGUGCGAAACGUGGGG
rnacentral:rRNA from 1 species